CACAUUUCUCUUCUCCUGGCUGUUGGCAUUAGCUCUCUGGGAAAUGGCUCUGUUUCCCACUCCAGGCUGGUCUUUGCCAUGUGUGCUGGGAAGGGUCAAGAGGAAGGGAAGGGGCAAAGGGCCAGGUGAAUGUGGGGUCAUAGAGCUGUGGGGUUGGGCUGUGCUGAGAGGGGCAGGUCAGUCCCUGUUGGUGAGUCUGAGCAUUGGUGUGGGGGUUCAGGAGGCUGGGGGGCCAAGCUCGGGGAGUGUUUGCAGCUCUGCCAGGGAUGGAGUUGACACAGCGCUGGGGGAGAGCCUGGAGCUGGGCUGGGCCGUGGGACAGACGCAGGGGAGCCGUGGGAGGGUUUGGGACUCCCUGGAGGGAAAGGAGGGAUGGAUGGGCUGGAUGGAGCCACGGGCUUGUGCUCGUGGGAACACACUUGUCCAGGGCGCCAGGAUCCGGGUCAAACUCCAGUUACCCUCGUGUCCAGGGAUGCAGAGUCUGAGGGAUUGGAUUUCCCUGUGGGUUUGCAGGACACCAGGAAUGAGAGGAAAUGUGGUGCCAGAGCUGUGUCCCACUGGGUUGUGUUUCCCUCUGAGGACAGAGAGCCUGUGGGCUGAGGUGAGGUUGCUGUGAGUGUUGGGAUGAGCAAUGCAGGGAACAAGGAGCUCAGAAUUCCAGGUGCUGAUGGAACCAUUGCCUUAGGUGUGUUUAGUUUGUGUCUGUGGGAGCUGGGAUUUGAGCUGGAGAGUUGUUGUUGGGAACAAAGGGUGAAGUAAACGUGUUCCACGGAUGUGUAAGGAUGGACUGAGAAGCAGGGAAAGGGAGUAUUUCUAAACUGUAUGAAUAUUCCCCCAGAUGUGGGAUGGAGCAGCGAUGGAGGUGAUUGAGUUUGUCCUGGGCCAAAAUUCUCUUGAAUGUUUUCAAGCAUAAGUGGGAGGUUGCCUUGCCCUUCCCCAAAGCGCUGCAGGCACAUGGGAGUAGCUCAGUGCUGGCCCAGUUCUGAGAUAUAACCAUGUGGGAGAGGUUUAAGUCUUAAUGACAACACUAUUGUCUCUUGAUGGCAAAGACUGGGCCUUACAGUCCCAGCCUGAUGAGGGAGGACAGGAACUUCUGUUCUUCAUGGCAAACCUUCUGUUACUCCUUAUGCAGUUUUUUCUUUCCGUCGUAGGAGUUGCUGUCCAGAAUCUCUCUGACAAAACCUAUUGGAAAGUUAGAGGUAGGAUUUGAAUUUGGGUCUAUUCCCUACAAAGUCCUGCAAAGCAUGAAAGUCAGGGUUGAUGACUGCUCUUAACAAAGGUUUAUUAAUAUUCCGUCAGAUUUCCCUCAGCUCUGGGCAGGACAGGUAAGGGUUAGGGUCGGCAAUUGUGCAAGUAAAACCUGUUGAUUUCUCCUGUGCGUGUGUCAGUUUGGCAGGGCUGGGACAAGGAGGACUCGUGCGAGCACCUCCAGAGACAGCGGGAAUGGGAGCGUGCUGCGGAGAAGGAAAAUUCCAGGAAGUGGGCUGUGACAAGGGGAUGUCCUCCCACUAGGCUGAGGAUCAGGGUGGGCUCUGCCCAGGGGAUGACUGCCACUGCUGGACAGGGAAGAGCACCUUUGCCCCCACCCCCGGCAAACUGGGAAGGAGUAACAUCUGCCUGCAGCUGACUGGAGUUCCUGUUGGCUCUGGGCUUUCUGUCCACGGGCCGGGGAUCAUGGCCAGAGUCCUUCAGACCUGGGGAACAGUGGCCUUCACACCAUCCCUGCAGCCCGUCCAGCGCAGGCUGUUGCUCAUCGGCCCCUGAUCGCAGGAUUAAGUGUUAAUAGAGUCCCAGAAUGCUUUGGUUUGGAAGGGACCUGAAAGAUCAGUUCCUUCCAGCUCCCUGCAAUUGCGACUGCCUUGAUGGUUUCUUCAUGAGACGGAAAACUCCUUGGGCAGAUGCCUUUGGGAUUUCUGCUUUGCUGCUCCUCUCCAUCCCCCGCCUGCUGCUGUGACACUGCCGUCCCAUGGAAAGGGCUUGAGAGGGCUGUUUCCCACCCCCAGUGAUCUCCUCAGUGAAGGAAAACAAUGAACCACGAAGUCUGAAGUUCCCGAAGCAGCAAGAGCAGCAACAGCAACGGCAAAACUGCUGACCCGGAGAAACCGAAGUGAUUAAAGGAAAUUGCUGCAAAUCAAGAAGCCAAACUUUAGAAAGUGACAGCCCUGAAAGGCUAGGUGGAGCAGAAAAGACUCAGCAUUGGGAAAUUAGCGGAGGAGGCGGACCAGCUGAAGAGCCUGUUGCAGCCAAAGCAGCGCGAGCUGGUGCUGGCCGUGCUGAAAGCAGAGGAACCGCCCUGCCACCGGAGAUGCUGAGGAAGGGCCGAAUUGGUGGUUACCACGACAACCCAUGGGCUGUAGCUGAGCUCCACCCACUGCCUGCCCAAGGAGCUGCAGGUAAUGGAAAGCCAGCUUGUGACCCCCAACUCUUAAGGGCUUCAAAGACGGUUGGGUCGUUUCUGAGCUCCUUGGAAAGAAACGCCACUGCUCCUGUUCCUGCCGGACCCAUGUGGCUUGCCUGCAUGCUGAGGAUGGAGGGGCGGUUGUGCCGAGUUCAAGGGAAAGGGAGGAAGGAGCACACUGUGCAUAUCCUUUUCCUUUCUGCACAUUUGGAGAUUAAGCAACUCCUGCAGAUAUUGGGGCUCUUGGAGUCCUGUGGAUGCAGAGUAGGGUGGGGGCCAAGGGGCAGGAGGGCUUUGCAGGGAGGAUGCUGCCCCAGAGGGACAGGCAAACACGACUUGUGCUCCGGGCUCACGGUGUCCGGAAACGAAAGCGGGGGCUCUGCAGGCGCAGCGGCUGCAGUGGGGGCUGAGGCAGGGCCCCCGCUCGCCACAGCCCCUCCUCGUGGGAAAGGCCCUGCUGGCCACAGACAGGCAGCAGGACCAGUCCCAGCUGCUCUGCAAGGCACGGGCCAGGCAGCUCUUGAAGCGCUGUGCAGAGCUCAGCCCACAGCAGACGCUUCCAGGAGACGCUGUUCUGCCGCGCCACAACCUUCUGCUUGUUGGGGACAUGGCAGGGCAUCCUCUGCUCCCUGAGGUGCUGUUACGACCCGCCCCAGAAAAAGGGAGGGGGGUAACCCAGGUUUUAUCAAUAAUUCCCUUGGGGUGGAUUAGAGUGAAACGACACUGAAUAAUUGGUGUCUGAAAACAUAUACUGGCAAGGUUUAUUUUAACAAUUCUCUAUCAACAGGCAUGCUAGCAUUUCUGUGUUGUCAUAUAACAAUGUGGCAUAGAGAUAGAAAAUGCAUAGGGGACAAUUUUGCAUCAACAGGUAUGCUAGAAUUUUAGGUGCUGUCAUAUAACAAUGUGACAUAGAGAUGACCUUUGGGGGGGGGGAGAAAAUGCAUAGGGGAGAGAAAAGCAAGAUAAGAGUAAGGGAAAGAAAAGCUGAGA